CAUCAGCUGCUGUUGUAUAGGGAGGAUACAAGCUUGCCCUAGGGAAUGCCUGUUACUAUGCAUCUAACAAAGGACUAAAAUCCAGAAUCUACAAGGAACUAAACUCAACAAGAAAAAAUAAUCUCAUUAACAAGUGGGGAAAAGAUAGGAACAGACAUUUCUCAAAAGAAGAUAUACAAGAGGACAAGAAACAUAAAAUAAAAUGCUCAAUAUCACUAACCGUCAGUGAAAUGCAAGUUAAAACCACAAUGAGAUGCCACAUCACACCGGUCGGAAUGGCCAUUAUUAAAAAGUCAAAAAACCACAGAUGUCGACAAAGAUGCAGAGAAAAGGGAGCACUUAUACACCGUUGGUGCGAAUAUGAAUUAGUACAACCUCUAUGGACAACAGUAUAGAGAUUUCUCAAAGAAGUAAAAAUAGAACCACCAUUAGGCCCAGCAAUCCCACUACUGGGUAUCUACCCAAAGAAAGAGAAAUUGUUAUAUAUAUAUAUCUGCACUCAUAUGUUUAUCACUGCACUAGUCGCAGUAACAAAGUCAUGGAAUGAACCUAAGUUUCCAUCAAAAGAUGAUUGGAUAAAGAAAAUGUGGAAUACCAUGAAAUACUACACAUCCGUAGAAAAAAAAUUAUGUCUUCUGCAGCAACAUGGAUGUAACUGGAGGUCAAAAUACUCAGAAACACAACAUCAAAUACCACAUGUUCUCACUUAUAAAUGGGAGACAUGUACAAACAGAGAAAAAUAGUCAAGGCUGGGGACUUUAAAAGAGGGGCUUGGGAGGGACUUGAGAGUUGAAAAAUUACCUACUGGAUACAAUGUUCAUUAUUCAGGUAAUAGGAACAUUAGAAGCCCAAAUCUCAGCUUUCCACAAUAUAUCCAUGUGACAAAUCUGCAUAUAUACCCACUGAAUCUAUAAAAAUAAAAUGAAUAAAUUUUAAAAAGCAUGUUUCAACACUUCAUAGAAACUCUACAGUUUGGUUAUUAACAUAGAAUCUUCUAGGUCUCAUGGUCAAGUAGCAACAGAGCUAAAUCUAUUCCUAAGAGUUCUUUUUCUAUGAACCUCAAAACUGACAGCCUUAAGAAUUAUCUAACUAAUAGGCUAAAACAAUAUUCUUAAACAUGAUAUAUUCUUCCUCCAAAAUCCAAGAAGUUCCACACAAGACUGUGCCUUUUUGUUGGAGGUAGUAGGUACAAAGAAAAAUAACUUGACCUUGAGUUUAGAGUACAUAUUCUGAUGUGGACUAGAUCAUUAAAUCACUAAAGUAAUAACCAAUAUGGCAGUGUAAUUAUGAUUAUAGGUUUUAUCUCUGACUCUUGGCAGCCAUGUUUGCUAGGAAAUUAUUUGCCAUGGUCUGCUCACCAAAUCCAAUUUACACAAUAUUAUUACAAUAGAGGGCCACAAUGAUGCUCUGUUGAAUGCCAAGAUGAAAACGGUAUCUUCUUCUAGAGAGGAUGGAGGUAGUCUACCCCUGUGAUACGAUAGUGAGUGUUGUCUAUAUUUUCCUAGGUGAAUUUGAACUACUACAUUUACACUCUUUGUGCGAUUAAAAAGGACGUAUCUUCCAGAUCAAUAAAAGCUUACCAAAAGUUACAGUAGGUAUUGAUCUCUUCUGGUAAUGAUAUUACAUCCAGCACAGAGCUGCAAUUGAGUUUUCACAUGCUUAAUUAUGCCGUAGUUCUCUGUCGUCUGCCAUGA
rnacentral:lncRNA from 1 species